rnacentral:tRNA from 1 species
GGGAAAUUGGCUCAGUGGUAGAGUGCUUGCCUCGCAUGCAUGAGGCCCUGGGUUCAAUUACUCAGUACCA